rnacentral:rRNA from 1 species
AUGCAAGUCGUACGAGAAAGUCCGCUUCGGUGGAUUAGUAAAGUGGCGCACGGGUGAGUAACGCGUGGAUAAUCUACCCUUUAGUCUGGAAUAACUUAUCGAAAGGUGAACUAAUACCGGAUAGUAUCCCGAUUUCUUCGGCGAUCGGGAUCAAAGAAGGCCUCUGCUUGCAAGCUUUCACUGAAGGAUGAGUCCGCGUACCAUUAGCUAGUUGGCAGGGUAAUGGCCUACCAAGGUUAUGAUGGUUAGCUGGUCUGAGAGGAUGAUCAGCCACACUGGAACUGAAACACGGUCCAGACUCCUACGGGAGGCAGCAGUGAGGAAUAUUGCGCAAUGGGGGCAACCCUGACGCAGCAACGCCGCGUGAGUGAGGAAGGUUUUCGGAUUGUAAAGCUCUGUCGAGCGGAAAGAAGUGCAUGGUGGUUAAUAUCCAUCAUGCUUGACGGUACCGCUAAAGGAAGCACCGGCUAACUCCGUGCCAGCAGCCGCGGUAAUACGGGGGGUGCAAGCGUUGUUCGGAAUCAUUGGGCGUAAAGCGCGUGUAGGCGGCUUGACAAGUUAGAUGUGAAAGCCCUGGGCUUAACCCAGGAAGUGCAUUUGAAACUGUCAGGCUAGAGUAAGGGAGAGGAAAGUGGAAUUCCUGGUGUAGAGGUGAAAUUCGUAGAUAUCAGGAGGAACACCGGUGGCGAAGGCGACUUUCUGGCCCUAUACUGACGCUGAGACGCGAAAGCGUGGGUAGCAAACAGGAUUAGAUACCCUGAUAGUCCACGCUGUAAACGA